rnacentral:rRNA from 1 species
AGUGAACGCUGGCGGUAGGCCUAACACAUGCAAGUCGAACGGCAGCACAGUAAGAGCUUGCUCUUACGGGUGGCGAGUGGCGGACGGGUGAGGAAUACAUCGGAAUCUACUUUUUCGUGGGGGAUAACGUAGGGAAACUUACGCUAAUACCGCAUACGACCUACGGGUGAAAGCAGGGGAUCUUCGGACCAUGCGCGAUUGAAUGAGCCGAUGUCGGAUUAGCUAGUUGGCGGGGUAAAGGCCCACCAAGGCGACGAUCCGUAGCUGGUCUGAGAGGGUGAUCAGCCACACUGGAACUGAGACACGGUCCAGACUCCUACGGGAGGCAGCAGUGGGGAAUAUUGGACAAUGGGCGCAAGCCUGAUCCAGCCAUACCGCGUGGGUGAAGAAGGCCUUCGGGUUGUAAAGCCCUUUUGUUGGGAAAGAAAAGCAGCAGGUUAAUACCCCGCUGUUCUGACGGUACCCAAAGAAUAAGCACCGGCUAACUUCGUG